CCCAUCUUCUCCCAUUACUAUAUGUGAUAAAUUUUUAGUUUGCACGAGGCAUAUGAAACAGAAUAGAAGCGCUAAUAGCGACACUGUCCUUUCUCCGUUACGCGAGCAAUACAUAAGGUAUAUUUAUUCAUUUACUUGUGGUUUUCAGAUGCAUUUUUAUACCUUUAUCACGUAUUCAUUUUGUAUAGUAACCAUGUAAAAGCUAAACUAUCUCAUUACACAAAGAAAUUCAUCUAUUUCUAACAAAGCUGCAGAAAUUAUUUUAGAUAAGAAAAAAGAAAAAAAUCGAUACUUCGGAAACAAACUUUUUUUUAGUGUGAACGGCUAUAUUACGCGUCGUUUUGUACUGUACCAUCACUUCUCCAGAAAACAACAUGAACCAAUCGGCACUUCUUCUUUUGCUACUCAUUGGACUCCUAGUCUUCAUUGAAACCACGAAUUCAUGGGAUCUGAACCUUUUUCGUCGUCGUCGCCAAUGGAAAAGAUGGACCGAGUGGAAUCAAGGCAGAACAGAAAAGCUUGAAGAACUGGAUGAAAUUCUUGUGGCAAAUGACGAAAACUAAAAUGCCAUAUGCUAAAUCGUAUUUGUAACUUGCUUGUUUGUUGAAUAAAGCAUUACAAAGUUA